UCUCUUGGUGGGGUUUGGAUGUUUAGAAUGUCCUGAGAAUUGGGGUUCUUUGAGUGUUUAUUAUAAAAUUUUAAAAGAUGUAGAAGAAUAGAGAGUUUAGUGAACAUUCAUCUACCUAUCUGGAUUCAGCAGCUGAAGGGCUCAGUGGGAACUGGGUCACACAAAGGAUGAAGGGCAAGCUGGGAACUGGGUCACACACACCAACUUCCCAUUUUCUUCCUGAAUAGAUAGCUACUUACCUCCCUCACCUGCAAAGGCAGUUUUGAUAGCAACAGGAGGCAGCCAAAUGCCAAGGCAGAUAGGGGUGGGUCCCUGGUGAAACCCCACCUCCAAGCCAAAGACAAUUUAAAGCCUGAAAGCCAAGCUACAAGUUAAAUUCUCAGACAGGAUUAAGAACUUGUCUUCCUGUUUGCGGUACUUUGCUCUGAUUGAUCCCCACCCUUCACCUAUUUUACAUAUACCUACCCUUUCCUAAUUGGUUUUCUACACUGUCAUGCCCACCUUUGAGUGGUGUCUUUGCUUUAGCCUUUUUUGCCUACUCACAAGCCAGUCACACACAUUCCCCAUUCUGAAUCCAUAAAAGGCCCUGGACCCAACCACACAGGGAACUUUCCUGCUUUCAGGUAGCAGGACCAACCCCAUGUCCCCUCUCCUCUGAAAGCCAUUUUCAUCACUCAGUAAAACUCUUCUCUGCCCUCCUCACUGUUCAAUGUCCAGUGUAUCCUCAUUCUUCCUGGGCACAGUACAGGAGCUCAGGAACCACCAAAUGUGGGUAUAAGCUAUAACACAGGCGAGCUGGGGCAUGUCAGCAUGGCCAAGUGACGCCUGGGCCAGGUGUCACCGGCAAGGGUCCCUGGCUUGCAAAGUGACCGAGAAGAAAAUUCCUACAUCAGUUUCACCAGCUGGACUGGUCCUUGUUCCUUUCACCUCUGGCCUUCUGCUCUCCUCUAGCUAAACAGUCUGGGAGCCCCAUCCCUGGCUCCAGCCUCCCUGGUGCCACAUAACCACAUCUCUGAGGACUUGUCUCUUCCACAAGUCACUGGCACAAAGCGGCGUAGGGGUCCCUUCUUCAGAGGCUCCAUCUCAGCCUCUGUCCAGUCCACAGGAAGCUGCUUCUCACUUCCCUCUGACUGUUGGCAAAGGCAUUAUCUCUUCUCUCCCACCCCUCCCCGUCAGAGACAGAAUCUCUUCAAAAAGCUAAACCUUUCACCAAACUAGAAAGAAUAUUUGUUUUUAAAGCUCUGCUUUCCACCUUAAAAUUUAUUCAGCCAAUAUUCAUUAAUAUAACUGCAGCGAUUCCUAUACUAUUGAAAGAUUUCUGUUCUGAUUGGCAAAUCAUAUAACGGCUAUUGCAAUAAUCAGUAGAAUUUAUUAAUAAUUAAAUUCAAAAUUAAACUCAUUAAUUCAGGCUAAUUGUCAUAGGAUGUCACAAGGACCACUGACAAAUGGGCCUCCCAUGUGCUUAUUAAUCACAAAGCAUUGUGUAUAUACAUCACAUUUUUAUCACUCUACUGAAAUCAUGUGGUUGCCACUGGUUCUACAUAGUUGUUACUUUAUUUGUAUUGUCUGUGCAUUGUAAUUCUUGUGUAAGUUGCAAAGGCAGCGUUUCAAUAUUUAUACAUUUAAGAAUUUACGAAUAAAAUAUUAAAAAUGAACUCUUAGAAUAAAGAGACAACCAACUGUGGAUACACGUAUUAAUGUUCCAUUAAAGAUCAUACACCUCAAUCUUCUGAUUGUACAGAGUACAAAUAGUGAUAGUAAUAAGGAACCACAGCCUAGAGUAUCAUCCAAACCACCUCAGACAUCCUUUACACCGUGCAAGCGUCAGUACAAAAUAACACAAUGCUUUUUAUUUCUUCAAUACAAAAUAAUUUUAUUAUUUUAACAAAAAUACAAGUGUCUCUUGCACGCUGACAAAAACCAUAAAAAAAAUGUGUCUCACCAGUGCUACUAAUGUAAAUAUUAGAUGCAAAUGGCACUCAGAGUUCACUGUUAAAAGCUUUGUGGGAGACCAACAUAUGCCACCCCAAAAUAGGGAUUGCCGAGCUGAAGGUGAUCAAGAAGAAGCAGAUCCAGGUAAAGCUCUCUGCCCUCCCUCUAUUUGCCUAAAAGCAGGACAAAGAUCUACAAAGACAAAAGGUAUCCUGGCCCAUCUUCUACCAGGAAGAACAAAGGUUAAUCACUGAAGAUAGCAUUGAUCCUGUGAAAGAAAACUAAAAUCUUGGGUCCCCAGUUUACUAUGCCAAAGGGAAAAAUUAAGCAGAAGCUGAUUGAGUCAUGCAAGAAACUGCCUUUCCUUGUUCCUAAGCAGAUAAACUGCAGAUAAAAGGCCAGGUAUCUCCACAGGAGCUACUCUAUGUUCAUCUCAUGUAAAGUGUUGAUUUACUGAAUGCAAAGACAAAUACAUAAUGGACUAUUCCUCUGCCUGCCUCCUUCUUUUCUUUUGCAACAUGUGGAUUCAGUAAUGGGAUUACACCCUCCCUCUUUCCCCUCCAGCCUGCUUUUCCCCUUUAAAUACUGAAGCCCUCAAAAUCAUCUUUGGAAAAAAGCAUAGCUCACAGAUUGUUUCUGUGGUUUUGUGUUGCUUUUUUUCCCCACAGACAUGUCCUUAACCUUGGCUAAAUAAACUCUAAAUUUAUUGAGACCUGUCUCAGAUACUUUUCGGUUUGUAGACCUUUACGGGCCCAAGAUGGUACCCAAGGAAGCUACAUUAACAAGCUUUACUAACCAGCCUUUAUCUGCCAUUAAUUUGCCUUUCCCGAAGUUGCCACCUCUAGAGAUUCAAAGCCCUUUUCCUUUUUCUUGUUACUUCUCUAAAAAUAUACUGGUUUUUGUUGAAGACUCUAUAUAGGCUGAAAUUCAAAGCCACCUCUUUGAGAACUAUUCAUUCCCUCAGUGUCUCCCAUGUACAUAUGAAAUAUACAUGUUAAUACACUUCUAUUUGGUUUUCUCUUAUAAAUCUGUCUUUUGUUACAGGGGUCACUUCCAAGUAAGGACUUAUGAGGGUUGAAGGAAAAAUUAUUAUUCUUCCCAGACAACUUACAUAUUCUUCAGAAUGGCAAUCACAUUCUAUCAAAGCUCACAGUUUAAUUUUUAAAACUGUAAAUAUCAAUGACAAAAACAAUCAAAAGAUCAAUUUCAGAAAACAAUGCAUUUGAAAGAAAAAAUGUAAAUUGGACAAAAUAUUGAUAAAACAAUUUAAAAUAUUAUAGAAGUAACCUUUGAAAUGUUGCUAUACAGCAUGUACUUAAACAUAAGCAUUUUCAAACAAACAUGAAAUAUUCAAUAGCCAUUAAAAAAUAAUAUCCAUGCAAGCAUACAUUGCAUUUUA
rnacentral:lncRNA from 10 species